AGAUGCACGCGCGCUCCCGCGGCCAGGGGAUACAAAUCCUGGCGGGGAUAGUAGCCUACCUUGGCACGACACCGGCAAAUUAACGUUAAAUGGAAGUAUUUGCUGCACCAGUGAUGUCCACACAGGUUAGAGCUGUGUUUAUUUCCUCAGCUCCUGUCAGUGAGACAACAUUUUGGGCUAUAUUCUAUGAAGAAAACAGUAGCUUCAGACAUGUUUGAGGUCUUGAAGAUCAAUGCUGAGUGUGUGGCUUUGAAGGUCCUGCUUACUUCAAGCAAUUAGGUCCCCUGAGGCAGGUGCAUAUCUCGCGGAGAGGAUGAUGGGAGGUCAUGCUGUAAAGAAGGUACAGUACGUGUCAGAAAGGACUUCAAAGAACACCUGUGAAAAGAGAGAUGUCUUUUUAAGGGGCUGUGUUGUCCAGGAACCCCUAGGCUAAGGCAAGGGAUAUACAUAAUUAGAAAGAUCCAAUGGGAUAGGACUUAAAUGCUGAA